rnacentral:rRNA from 1 species
UACGUAGGUGGCAAGCGUUGUCCGGAAUUAUUGGGUUUAAAGGGUGCGUAGGCGGCUUUGUAAGUCAGUGGUGAAAUAUGGCAGCUUAACUGUCAGGGUGCCAUUGAUACUGCGGAGCUUGAGUACAGAUGAGGUAGGCGGAAUUGACGGUGUAGCGGUGAAAUGCUUAGAUAUCGUCAAGAACACCUAUAGCGAAGGCAGCUUACUGGGCUGUAACUGACGCUGAGGCACGAAAGUGUGGGGAGCAAACAGG